rnacentral:ncRNA from 1 species
UAAAAGUUUUAUUCUAGCUUAGAAAUUAAGUUUAAUUAUGAUUUAUAUGUAAAUAUACGUGGGAUGGAAUUAAAUUUUAAAUAGAUUUAAGUGAUAUUUUAUACGCAGUAAAUAGAUUUGAAUAAUUAAGGAAAUUUAGAUUUAGUAAUAAUUAAAAAUAUUAACAAAUAUUGUGCCAGCAGUUGCGGUUAUACAAAUAAUGUAAUUUAAUUUUUUUAGUAAAAAUUAAUUUUAAUAUAAGUUUAAUUUUAUAAUUAAGUUUUUUAGGUGAAAUUUUAAAUUUAAUUAAAAAUUUAUUAGAUUUGAUGAAGUUAAGAAAUUUAAUUUAUAGACUAGGAUUAGAUACCCUAUUAUUUUAAAUGUAAAUUUAUUUCUGGAUUAGUAUUAGUUAUGUUCUUGAAAAUUAAAGAUUUUGGCGGUAUUUUAGUCUGUUCAGAGGAACCUGUUCUGUAAUCGAUAAUCCACGAUUAAAUUUACUUAUUUUUGUAGUUUGUAUAUCGUUGUAGUUUGAAUAUUUUAUAAGAAAACAAUAUUCAAAAUUUUUUUAGAAAAAAAUAUCAAAUCAAGGUGCAGUUUAUAGAUAAGGAGUAAUGGGUUACAAUAAAUAUAUUUAAAUGGAUUAUGAAUUUAAAAUUUGAAUGAAAGUGGAUUUGAAAGUAAUUUUAUUUAUUUAAUUAAAAUGAUUUUAGCUCUAAAAUAUGUACAUAUUGCCCGUCGCUUUCAUUAUAAAAUGAAAUAAGUCGUAACAAAGUAGGUUUACUGGAAGGUGAAGCUGGAAAGG